GUGUCAGCAGCCGCGGUAAUACGUAGGGUGCGAGCGUUGUCCGGAAUUACUGGGCGUAAAGAGCUCGUAGGUGGUUUGUCGCGUUGUCCGUGAAAACUCACAGCUUAACUGUGGGCGUGCGGGCGAUACGGGCAGACUAGAGUACUGCAGGGGAGACUGGAAUUCCUGGUGUAGCGGUGGAAUGCGCAGAUAUCAGGAGGAACACCGGUGGCGAAGGCGGGUCUCUGGGCAGUAACUGACGCUGAGGAGCGAAAGCGUGGGUAGCGAACAGGAUUAGAUACCCUGGUAGUCCACGCCGUAAACGGUGGGUACUAGGUGUGGGUUUCCUUCCACGGGAUCCGUGCCGUAGCUAACGCAUUAAGUACCCCGCCUGGGGAGUACGGUCGCAAGGCUGAAACUUAAAGGAAUUGACGG
rnacentral:rRNA from 1 species